rnacentral:pre_miRNA from 1 species
CUCGGGAGAUGGUCCCUCAGCCUGGAUUAUGAGAGGGUGCAGGCCAGGCUGAGGGACCCCACUGGUGCAGG